rnacentral:rRNA from 1 species
CAAUAGCGUAUAUUAAAGCUGUUGCGGUUAAAAAGCUCGUAGUUGGAUUUCUUUCAAGGACAACUGGUCCGCCCCUCGGGUGAGCACAUAGUUUGGUCUUGGCAUCUUGUUGGAAACUGUUGCUGCACUUGGUUGUGUGGCGCAGUGUCCAGCACUUUCACUUUGAGGAAAUUGGAGUGUUUCAAGCAGGCACAUGCCUUUGGACACAGUAGCAUGGAAUAAUUAGAUUGGGCUUUUGCUCCAACUUGUCGGUUUCUGGAGCUGAGGUGAGAAUUAAUGGGGAUUGUUGGGGGCAUCCGAAUUUAGCCGUCAGAGGUGAAAUUCUUGGAUCUGCUAAAGACGGACAACUGCGAAAGCGUUUGCCCAGGAUGUUUUCAUUGA